rfam:Schistosoma mattheei strain Denwood, Zambia genome assembly, scaffold: SMTD_scaffold0001125
GUCCAGCUAACGAGUCCUAAACAGGACGAGAUGCGUGUCCUGGAU